rnacentral:sRNA from 1 species
GUCUGUCUCAGUUAUCUCUUGCUGCACAGCACACCACCCCAAAACCCAGUGGCAUAAGUCAUCACCAUGGACUUUCCCCAGCACAGCCAGCAUGUCUUGGAACAGCUGAACCAGCAGCGGCAGCUGGGGCUUCUCUGUGACUGCACCUUUGUGGUGGACGGUGUUCACUUUAAGGCUCAUAAAGCAGUGCUGGCGGCCUGCAGCGAGUACUUCAAGAUGCUCUUCGUGGACCAGAAGGACGUGGUGCACCUGGACAUCAGUAACGCGGCAGGCCUGGGGCAGGUGCUGGAGUUUAUGUACACGGCCAAGCUGAGCCUGAGCCCUGAGAACGUGGAUGAUGUGCUGGCCGUGGCCACUUUCCUCCAAAUGCAGGACAUCAUCACGGCCUGCCAUGCCCUCAAGUCACUUGCUGAGCCGGCUACCAGCCCUGGGGGAAAUGCGGAGGCCUUGGCCACAGAAGGAGGGGACAAGAGAGCCAAAGAGGAGAAGGCGGCCACCAGCACGCUGAGCAGGCUGGAGCAGGCGGGACGCAGCACACCCAUAGGCCCCAGCAGGGACCUCAAGGAGGAGCGCGGCGGUCAGGCCCAGAGUGCGGCCAGCGGUGAGUCAGAUGCCAGGGACCCAGCCGGCUGUCCUGUCACCUCCCAGCAGCCUGGGCACAGGGUAGUGAGGGCUGCCUUGGGGCAGGUAGCAUGGGCACCUGCCCCUCUUGAGCCUGUGUUACCCAGAAUGACCUAUUGUGUGUUCCAGGGGGUCUGUUUCAACCAGAGCAGACACAACAGCCUCGGCUAGGGGUGUGCUGGGGCCUCCCCUCCUGGGUCA